rnacentral:lncRNA from 1 species
GGACAGAAAUGACAAUCAUUAAGAACAACGGUAUGUGACUCAAAUACAAGUUUCAAAAUUUUUAAUGCUAGAACUAGAACUGAUCUUCCAUCUCCAACAUUCAGAAACCUCUCGCCUUGCUCGAAUCUCCUACUGACCUGCAAUCUCAGUAAUGAAUUGCAAAUAUGGUAAGGGAUAUCAGUAUCCAAUAUCCAGUCAGUUAUAUCAUAAAUAGAGAAAUUGUAAGGAGUUAUCAUAUAAAUACCUUGCCCAGCAAUAGUUUGCUUCUUUCUCUGCUUGUUCGGAUUCAGGGAGGCAAUAUACUAAGGACAGUUCCUCUUUUAGUUCCCCGCUUCUUGCAAAAGAAGCAUUCAGCUUGACUCUUAUCGGGCU